AUGGAUCAGGAGCUGAUCAAGCACCUUGAGGCCAAAGUGACUACUGACAGCGCGAGAUCUCACCCUCUCAUCGAUUUGUUCAUACCAACCAUCGACAGUGAGCACGGCAUAUGCUACACCCAUCUUGAGAAACUUCUAGGUAUCACACUGAGUGGCCUAAGCAAGCAUUUAUUCCAGCACAAUUCCAGGGUGUUCAAAAGGGGCACGUGGACGUGUCGCAAGAUACAGUCGGAGUGCGGCAUGCACGCGAUGUGGCACAAGACUAGCAAUACCUUGCCGGUGGUGGUCAACGACCGGCAGACGGGCAGCAAAAAGGUUCUGGUGCUGCACACCAACAAGAACUUCGACCAGCAAAGGACCAAUUGGGUGAUGCACCAGUACCACCACGGGGAUCUGGAGCAAGAGAAGGAGCGGGAGAUGGUCCUCUGCAAGAUUUUCUACCAGACGAACACUAGGGCCAGGAGUAAAAAGAUUAUAAGUUAG
rnacentral:rRNA from 1 species